rnacentral:rRNA from 1 species
GUCCACGCCGUAAACGAUGAGUGCUAGACGUUGGGAAGCCUAGCUUCUCGGUGUCGCAGCUAACGCAUUAAGCACUCCGCCUGGGGAGUACGGCCGCAAGGUUGAAACUCAAAGGAAUUGACGGGGGCCCCGCACAAGCGGUGGAGCAUGUGGUUCAAUUCGAAGCAACGCGAAGAACCUUACCAAUCCUUGACAUGCCCUGACGGCCCGGAGAGAUCCGUGCCUCCCCGCAAGGGGCAGGGACACAGGUGCUGCAUGGCUGUCGU